UCUGAAUAACACUUUUAUAUUAAAAUACGACAGAAACAGAAAUAGAACAUACUGACUCAAAGGAAGAUAACUUAGAUGAAGUGCAAGAACUCCUCAUCCUCCAUAGACAGCAAGGGAUUGAAACAAUAUGAAGGAGAGGAAUUAAUAACAGAAUCUUCAUUUUGGGGUGAACUAACCGUUUAAUAUUGUUUGCUAUUGCACUUAACUAAAUGUGUAUGCAGACAUGGAAGAGUUAUGUGGAAGCUUGUUAUACCCAAUGAGAACUGCUUUUAGACAUGCAAGAGAGUUUAAUAGAUUUUGUGUUUACUGUUUUUUUGUGU